GAAAGCUGGGAGCGCACAUGUUAUACCACCGGCAGAAGCGGAGCGAGGAAAACUGAAGUCGUGGAGACUUUUACGUCUCUAAGCUUUCCUCCAGCGAUGUACUUCCUCCUGCAAGACCAGACCCCCUACACCUCCAGCAGUCGGGCCACUAACUGGGAACCAGGUGUUUAAAUAACCGGGGCUGUGGGAGACAUUUCUCGUUCAAAUUUCCUCAGUAAUACGGUAUUCAAGUGGGAGAUAAAGAGAUGGAAGAGGAAGCGUCUUAAUAUGAACUUGUCACAGUCCUUGACUACUUACUUCUAGACAUAAUCUCCACCGACUCUUUCUGUCUCUGAGCUUUCGCCUACGUUUCUCCGUAUUCAAACCAGCCAGACAUCUCUAGGUACCUAACAUCAGUGAUUUGUCACACAGACCCCCCAAUCAACCUAAGACCACCGCGCAUAGAAAAUCAAAACGAAGCCGGGCGGUGAUGGCGUACGCCUUUAAUCCCAGCACUCGGGAGGCAGAGGCAGGCGGAUCUCUCCUUCCAGGUGUUAAGAUUACGAGCACUCUGGGCCUAAAAUGUGUUGUCAAGAAAAAUACAAUUUUGGAGGAUAUUUGAAGAUAGAAGUUACCUGCGAUUGCAUUCAGAAUCAAUGUUUGCUACUCUAAAAUAAAAGGAAGUUCACGUAACAUUUCCCACAGUGCCAGAAAUCCUGAACAAUGAGAAUGACCCAGACACACUCGGAUUAUUAUUUACGAGGAAGAAGGGCAUCCCUCUAACUUUUCUUGCUCAGGCCUCUGAUGUAUUUCCUCUUUAGCAUCUAUGUUUAAGCUAACGCUGGCGGUGGGGCGUGAAGUGUCUUAUCCACCUCCCUCUUGGGACCUCUCCAUCUUCAAGGUGAGGUCUGAGGUGAUAUUAAAACAAGACUGCCUGCUGAAGCAUUGAAGCCAGGCUAAAUUCCUGUGAGAUUCCAGGACCUUAUCUCUGCCCUAAAUGCCGCCCCUGCCCCCAUCCGUCUUUAUCUCAGACGCUUUACAGAGCCUUGGUACUCAGGGUCUAUUGCCUUUCGCCUGCAUCUCAGGACCAGCAAAUCUGCAUUAGCUCUCAAGGCCUGCAGUUCAGGCCAGCAGUUCGGACUAGGGAAGGAAUAUUCACGACACGGAGGAAGCUUUGUGACUUGUAAUGAGGGCAGACAUGCCGCUCUGACUCCAAGGAAAACCUGCCCCAAAUACUGACACAGGCCUCUUUAAAUGUUUGCAAUCGGUCUCAGCUUGCAGUUUUGUUUGAUAAUAGAAAACAAAGCAACAAAACCAGUUAAUUUUUAAAAUGAUGCAUUGAGAGACGGACCUGAAAGCACCUAAAAACAUCAAGUUAGUUUCCACCCACUCUACCAGAGGCUGGGUGGCGGAAAGCCGCAGAACUGGAGUGUUACCGGGAGCCUUUGGGGAUGGUGGGAGGAACGCGCUUCACAGCUGACUGCCUUAACAAACAAAGCCGUGUGCUGCUGAACGGAAUUAGUAUUCCUUCGUCCUUGAGGGCGCGGUUUGGCUUCUUGCUUUUUACAGGUACUAUGGAUGCUACAGCCACUGUCCGAGUUCCGCAGGAGAUUGCACCUUAAAUCAAAUGCUUAGGAAUAACUCUCCCCCUAGACAAAGGACUCUUCCCUCUCCCAC